GGAUGGGAAACCUGCAGGUAGGGGGGAGGGUCCUUCCCCCUCCACCUCCUCAUUUUGAUCUCCCUAGAAGAACUCCAAGAUUAAAAGCAUCCUUCUUAUUUGUUGCUGAGUUGCUCCUCCACGUAUAAGAAAAGUGCUGCUUUCUCUUGCUGUAUGGUGAAACACUUUAGACAACCACAUCUUUUUUCCUAAGACAUGUGAAGCUGAUGUAAAUAUUGAAAUAAUAUAGAAGACCCAGGAAGAAUAACUUAAAAUCAUAAUAGGGCUCUGCUGCGAGCUAUAGGAGAUGAAUAAGAAAUGGCAUCUGACUUCAAGAAGCUUCUAAUUGUAUUAUAGAGCUCGGAUAGAGGCAUGUGGAAGAAGAACCGUAAUGAGUAAAAGAUUACGAAAAAUACCAAGUUUGUGACCACAUAAGUUGCUAAGGGAAUUCAAAGAAGGAAGAGGAGUAUCGUUCAGGACGGCUUGAUGGACAAAACGGAAUGUGCUCAAGCCCUUUGAAAGGAUUUUGAUACGAAAGCUGAAAAUUAGAGAACAAAAUGAAAUGCUCCAACAUUGAGAAGCAAUUAAAGUUGCCUUUAGUUGUUGUGUCUAUGAACAUAUUUUGUGGGAUAUAUUUGGGAGGCAGCUUUUCAACAUAAGAGCAAAAGUCAGUAAGUUUUCUGGAAUGUUCUAUUUUGCUUUACCUUUGUUACUUACAGAAAAACAAGUAAGAUAAAAUACAUUUUCAGUCAAAUAAUGUAACAUAAUAUGAGAAGGACUGGCUGUUGUCAACCUGAUGAUCAGGAUAUAUUUUAGAGUUUUUUAUUUUUUUAGCCAAUAUAACCAUAAAAUGACAAAAUACCCUUUUCCAGGAUAUUUAGUGAUUCACUGGAUGAGUCAUACCUUUUAAAAUCUCUGCUCCUUUCAUCAUAACUUGGAAAUUUUCCAUAUUAUAAACUGUAUUUUCUUUCAUGCCUAUAAGAACCAAAGGCUAUGUUUGGAAAUCCAGAUACCACCUUAAUCUGUAGGGUUAUUGUAAGAUGGGUUUAUGUGAUCUGAAAGUCUUUUGUAUUUGUGCUGUAUAGCUCGAUUCUUAUCUGAAUUUUUUAAAAUGUCCAGGCCAGAGAUGUGACAAACUCUUGACCAUGCCAUAGUUUCAAAGGUUUGUGGAAAGACCUGAGUGUUGAGUCGCACACUAGAUGCGGUAUGCUGUUGCGUGUGACUUCCCUGGUUGUGUCUUAAAAGCAAUCUCUACUUCUACAGCAGAGUUGCAAAUCAAAAGUGAACUACCAUUUUUUGAUCACUGGUGAGUAAACAUUUAAAAAACUGGAGCCCUACUUUCAGGUGUGGUGGUGAAAUCGUAUUGCUCUCCAUUCAUACCUAGAAGUACUUUAAUCUGAUUGUUUACUCUGUAAGCAAAGCAUUACCACAUGCAACACUCCCUCUUGUUUUUCCCCUCUUGCAUUAUUCACACUAAUGCCGGAGCAGAUUUAUUAAUAUCAGCCUGCAAAUGGCAUUAUUCCACAUACUCUGAGAAUUUACAUCCUGGGAUCAACAUUUAUAGAGCAAUAAAAGUAGCACAAGUGGAAGGAAAUCGCAUUGUGGGUUGCAUUUUUUCCUUCCAGGAUUUCUAAAUACAGCUAAACUGUUGAUCAGCAAACUUUUACUGAAUGACCACUGUGUUUGGGCACUGCAUCCCAGAGACAUAGAAGUCUAAAAGAAGUUCCCUUCUUCAAAGAACCUGGAGACUAGCUGGGAAAGGACUGACACGUAGGAAAUACCAGCAAACAUAAUGGUACUCUAUAAUUCCAUAAUAAAUAGUAUAGUAUGAACUAUUUAUGCUAUAGACAUGCAUUGUCCAAUAUGGCAGCCACUAGAUACAUAUGGUUAUUGGGCACUUGAAAUGUGGUUAUUGUGAAUUGUGGCUAAUGUGGAAUUGUGAAUUCAUAACUGUAAAUAUACAUUGGAUUUCAAAGGUGUG
ensembl:lncRNA